rnacentral:rRNA from 1 species
CCCAGACUCCUACGGGAGGCAGCAGUGAGGAAUAUUGGUCAAUGGGCGAGAGCCUGAACCAGCCAAGUCGCGUGAGGGAGUACUGCCCUAUGGGUUGUAAACCUCUUUUGUCAGGGAGCAAAGGGCGCCACGUGUGGCGUUUUGCGAGUACCUGAAGAAAAAGCAUCGGCUAACUCCGUGCCAGCAGCCGCGGUAAUACGGAGGAUGCGAGCGUUAUCCGGAUUUAUUGGGUUUAAAGGGUGCGCAGGCGGAAUGUCAAGUCAGCGGUAAAAUUUCGGGGCUCAACCCCGUCGUGCCGUUGAAACUGGCGUUCUUGAGUGAGCGAGAAGUAUGCGGAAUGCGUGGUGUAGCGGUGAAAUGCAUAGAUAUCACGCAGAACUCCGAUUGCGAAGGCAGCAUACCGGCGCUCAACUGACGCUCAUGCACGAAAGCGUGGGUAUCGAACAGGAUUAGAUACCCUUGUACU